GUUUUAAGGCUGAAAGAAACAAGUACUCUUUUGGAAAAAGUCGGAUCAAUUUUUGGCAAAACUCGAAUCAACUAUCUCUUGAAUUUGUUGUCCUUAAUCAAAGCCACGUCCUGAGGUUGUUGUUUUCUCUUUUCAAUGAUUGUGUCUACCGUAUAAUCUACAUAAGUGAGCAGUUUAUUGAAAGGAAGGACAAAGGGCUGCACUUUUACUGGGCAUCAUUUGCGAGCUAGAUUCAGCAGCUAUGCAGCAUGUGGUUUUCCACAGCAACGUAAAUGCUGAAGUACCAGAAGCUUACUAGUUAAUACCCAGAUGCAAUUUCUACAGCCAACUACAGCUGCUUGAAUCCAGAUUGUACCCCUUACACCAAGAACAUCAACAAUUUCACAGCUUUUCUCUUUCUAGCAAGCUUGGCAACGUAAUAGUAUAACUUUGUUCCGCACAAUAUGAAGCAUAUUAUGUUAUGAGUAAUAUUUAACUUGCUGGUACUGCUUCCUUUUUUUGGUUAAACUCCUACUAAACAAAUAAGGAAGUAUCUUGCGAAAGUCAGACCACUUUUAUAUAACAAUAUUCGCCCGUGCUCUGCACGG